ensembl:ncRNA C37E2.7 ncRNA
ACCUGCAUUGUAUGGUGCUCCACUAAACAUAGUCAUUGGUUGAACCGGAUAAUUGAACCCGGUUGUGGCAGUUGAAGGAAUUGUGAAGUAACUAUAGCUGGUCAUCCCUGAAAAAUAUAACAAUUGUUGAAAAUGGAAUUGUAAAGU